rnacentral:piRNA from 1 species
UAAAAAUGACCAAAAUGUCUUUGGGAUUGC